AGGCCUAACACAUGCAAGUCGAGCGCCUCGCAAGAGGAGCGGCAGACGGGUGAGUAACGCGUGGGAAUCUACCUAUCUCUACGGAACAACUUCGGGAAACUGAAGCUAAUACCGUAUACGCCCUUAGGGGGAAAGAUUUAUCGGGGAUGGAUGAGCCCGCGUUGGAUUAGCUAGUUGGUGGGGUAAUGGCCUACCAAGGCGACGAUCCAUAGCUGGUCUGAGAGGAUGAUCAGCCACACUGGGACUGAGACACGGCCCAGACUCCUACGGGAGGCAGCAGUGGGGAAUAUUGGACAAUGGGGGCAACCCUGAUCCAGCCAUGCCGCGUGAGUGAUGAAGGCCCUAGGGUUGUAAAGCUCUUUCACCGGUGAAGAUAAUGACGGUAACCGGAGAAGAAGCCCCGGCUAACUUCGUGCCAGCAGCCGCGGUAAU
rnacentral:rRNA from 1 species